rnacentral:misc_RNA from 1 species
GGGGAAUCCACUAGCAAAUUCUGUAAGGAUUUCAAGUAUAAGACCAGGAGUUAAUAUACAGCUUCUGGGCACCUGAGUAAAAUCACUGCCACUAAUCCACUAUGGUUUGAUUUGAUCCACAGAGAUAAUUUAUAUAUAGUAGAAGAUAUGAAGAGGAUCAUUUCGAGGAGGAUGUUUUUGUAUAAAAAGAAAGAAAAAAUAAAUC